UAUCCCAAAACAAACUGAAAUAUUAGCGGGGACUACACUGGAACUGAGGUGUGCCAUUCCUCCGAACAUGGAAAUGCAGAGUGGUGGCCUACUCAUGCACCUCUGCAAAGAUGGCAUCGGGAUCAAGAUGGGAGUAGUUACAACCUUAUGGGGUGUUGUUUAUACCUUCCCAGAAGUCACCAGCCAAAACUCAGGCACUUACAGUUGUGUAUGUACAACCAUUAAAUCUGAAAAUAAUAUAGUGACUGGUGUUGGCCACAAUUCUGUCUUCAUCAAAGUCAAAGACUUCGGUUCAGCCAGAAUUGUUGUAGAAAGCACUCAUGUAAUUGAAGGAGACAGUAGGACCUGAAAUGUGCUCAUGUUGAGGUCAAUGAGACACAAGAUGCAUACAAAACUUUGUAUGUAUACCUUUGCAAGGAUGGAAUUGGAAUCUGCAGGAGAGAAGUGCAUUCCAAUGGAGAAAAGGUUUUUACACUUGUACAUGUCAGAAAAGAAGACUCCGGCCAUUACAGUUGUGUGUACUCAUUAAAGGAACAUCACCAUGGCAAAGCGAGGUCAACAAAUGAAAACUCAGUCAUCAUCUACGUUGAAGGCCAGUCAUGGGGGCAUGUCAUCAAGAUUAUUUAUUCAACUGCAUUUUUCUUGGUAGGUUUGGCUGUUGUGGUGGAAUUUUUC